rnacentral:rRNA from 1 species
AGCAGUCGCCGCGGUAAUACGUAGGGGGCAAGCGUUGUCCGGAAUUAUUGGGCGUAAAGCGCGCGCAGGCGGUUCUUUAAGUCUGGUGUAUAAGUGCGGGGCUCAACCCCGUGAGGCACUGGAAACUGGGGAACUUGAGUGCAGAAGAGGAGAGCGGAAUUCCACGUGUAGCGGUGAAAUGCGUAGAGAUGUGGAGGAACACCAGUGGCGAAGGUGGCUCUCUGGACUGUAACUGACGCUGAGGCGCGAAAGCGUGGGGAGCAAACAGGAUUAGAUACCCCAGUAGUCCCUGUCUCUUAUACA